rnacentral:rRNA from 1 species
AGAGUUUGAUCCUGGCUCAGGAUGAACGCUAGCGGCAGGCCUAACACAUGCAAGUCGAGGGGCAGCGGGAGUGCUUGCACUCGCCGGCGACCGGCGCACGGGUGCGGAACGCGUAUCGAAUCUGCCUCUAUCUGGGGGAUACCCCAUGGAAACGUGGAAUAAUACCCCAUAGUAUUACUUUUUCGCAUGAUUUAGUAAUUAAAGAAUUUCGGAUAGAGAUGACGAUGCGUAUCAUUAGCUAGUAGGUAAGGUAACGGCUUACCUAGGCUACGAUGAUUAGGGGUCCUGAGAGGGAGAUCCCCCACACUGGUACUGAGACACGGACCAGACUCCUACGGGAGGCAGCAGUGAGGAAUAUUGGACAAUGGAGGCAACUCUGAUCCAGCCAUGCCGCGUGCAGGAAGACUGCCCUAUGGGUUGUAAACUGCUUUUAUACAGGAAGAAACUUACCCACGUGUGGGUAACUGACGGUACUGUACGAAUAAGGACCGGCUAACUCCGUGCCAGCAGCCGCGGUAAUACGGAGGGUCCAAGCGUUAUCCGGAAUCAUUGGGUUUAAAGGGUCCGUAGGCGGGCUAUUAAGUCAGGGGUGAAAGUUUGCAGCUCAACUGUAAAAUUGCCUUUGAUACUGGUAGUCUUGAAUUGUAGUGAAGUGGUUAGAAUAUGUGGUGUAGCGGUGAAAUGCAUAGAUAUCACAUAGAAUACCGAUUGCGAAGGCAGAUCACUAACUAUAUAUUGACGCUGAGGGACGAAAGCGUGGGGAGCGAACGGGAUUAGAUACCCCGGUAGUCCACGCCGUAAACGAUGGAUACUAGCUGUUGGAUUUUUUCAGUGGCUAAGCGAAAGUGAUAAGUAUCCCACCUGGGGAGUACGUUCGCAAGAAUGAAACUCAAAGGAAUUGACGGGGGCCCGCACAAGCGGUGGAGCAUGUGGUUUAA